rnacentral:rRNA from 1 species
GAUGAACGCUGGCGGCGUGCCUAAUACAUGCAAGUCGAGCGAACAGACGAGGAGCUUGCUCCUCUGACGUUAGCGGCGGACGGGUGAGUAACACGUGGAUAACCUACUUAUAAGACUGGGAUAACUUCGGGAAACCGGAGCUAAUACCAGAUAAUAUAUUGAACCGCAUGGUUCAAUAGUGAAAGACGGUUUUGCUGUCACUUAUAGAUGGAUCCGCGCCGCAUUAGCUAGUUGGUAAGGUAACGGCUUACCAAGGCAACGAUGCGUAGCCGACCUGAGAGGGUGAUCGGCCACACUGGAACUGAGACACGGUCCAGACUCCUACGGGAGGCAGCAGUAGGGAAUCUUCCGCAAUGGGCGAAAGCCUGACGGAGCAACGCCGCGUGAGUGAUGAAGGUCUUCGGAUCGUAAAACUCUGUUAUUAGGGAAGAACAAAUGUGUAAGUAACUAUGCACGUCUUGACGGUACCUAAUCAGAAAGCCACGGCUAACUACGUG